rnacentral:sRNA from 1 species
AGAAGCUCCGAUCCAGACACACGCGAGGCGCUGUCCUUUCAGCACCACAAGCUCGGGCUGAGGAGGGAGGACUCCUGGCCGUCCUCCUCCUCUUCAAAUUGGCUUGAAUCUGCUCUGACCCCCAGGAGUGCAGCACAGUCUGGGAAGAAAGGCGUAAGGAUGGUGAAGCUGAACAGUAACCCCAGCGAGAAGGGAACCAAGCCGCCUUCAGUUGAGGAUGGCUUCCAGACCGUCCCUCUCAUCACUCCCUUGGAGGUUAAUCACUUACAGCUGCCUGCUCCAGAAAAGGUGAUUGUGAAGACAAGAACGGAAUAUCAGCCGGAACAGAAGAACAAAGGGAAGUUCCGGGUGCCGAAAAUCGCUGAAUUUACGGUCAGUUUCUUGAUGGUGUAAUAGAAAGAGUAAAGGAGAGGCUGGCUCCAGCCAGCUCAGCACACCUCGUGCUUGGAGCAAGUACUGCUGUGGGUGGGGAAAUGAUGCAGGCUAUUUCUGGAGGAUUUCUUGAAGCCAUACAGUCUGGCCACUGAGUUUA